rnacentral:rRNA from 1 species
ACUGAUAAUUUAAAGAGCUGCAGUAUUCUAACUGUGCUAAGGUAGCAUGAUAAUUUGUUUUUUAAUUGGGGACUUGAAUGAAAGGUUUGAUGUUUGUAAACUAUCUUUUUAAAAAAGGUGAAAUUAAUUUUCAGUUAAAAUUCUGAAAUGGACUUGUGGGACGAUAAGACCCUGUAAAAUUUAUAUUGUGUGUAUUUAUUAGGGUUUAGGAGAUAUGUGGGAUAUAAUUUAACUGGGGCGGUUUUUAUAUAAGUAUAGAAAAUCUGUAAUUUUAUUUAAACAUUUAUGUAUGAAUUAUUUGACCCUGUAGAGAUUAUAAGAUUAAAUUACUUCAGGGAUAACAGCGUAAUUUUUUUUAGAGUUCUUAUCGAAUGAAGAGUUUGCGACCUCGAUGUUGAAUUAAGACACCGCUAUAAGUGCAGAAGCUGUAGUAGG